rnacentral:rRNA from 1 species
AUUGAACGCUGGCGGCAUGCCUUACACAUGCAAGUCGAACGGCAGCACGGGUGCUUGCACCUGGUGGCGAGUGGCGAACGGGUGAGUAAUACAUCGGAACAUGUCCUGUAGUGGGGGAUAGCCCGGGGAAAGCCGGAUUAAUACCGCAUACGAUCUACGGAUGAAAGCGGGGGACCUUAGGGCUUUGCGCUAUAGGGUUGGCCGAUGGCUGAUUAGCUUGUUGGGGGGGUAAAGGCCUACCAAGGGGACGAUCAGUAGCUGGUCUGAGAGGACGAGCAGCCACACUGGGACUGAGACACGGCCCAGACUCCUACGGGAGGCAGCAGUGGGGAAUUUUGGACAAUGGGCGAAAGCCUGAUCCAGCAAUGCCGCGUGUGUGAAGAAGGCCUUCGGGUUGUAAAGCACUUUUGUCCGGAAAGAAAUCCUUGGCCCUAAUACGGUCGGGGGAUGACGGUACCGGAAGAAUAAGCACCGGCUAACUACGUG